rnacentral:lncRNA from 1 species
CCGGCCUCAGCCGGCGCACCUGGCGGAGGAGGAACCUCGCGACGCGCUCUCGGGCAUCGGUUUCUCCCAGCAAAGCUUGGAGGGUUUAGCUGCGCGGAGAGCUCAGCGAGCUCUUCUGUGUCUGUUUGGGGCGUGUGGGCUCCGGGAGCGUGAGGACCGGGAAGCUAGGAGGCUCCUUCCCUUCUGGCGGCUCCCUCACUGAGACCGGGCGGUUUGGUUGCGGGGGAAGUGGAGACGAGCCACCCUUGACCUUUGACUGCAAGAACUCACCUUGAGCAGGAUAGAGGCACGUGGACGGUGACCCUCGGGAUGCAAUAAAUGCUGAGACAGAUCAGCAAACAUUGAGUGGGCCAGACACUGUUCUGAAAAAUACGCAGUCGACUUUUGAACAGCACAGGCUUGAACUGCAUGCGGCCACUAAUACUCGGACUUCCUUCUGCCUCUGCCAUCCCUAAGACAGCAAGACCCACCCCUCCUGCUCCUCAGCCUACUCGAUGUGAUGAUGGGAACCAGAAGUCUGGACUAGAUCAGAGCUUCUCAAAUCAUCCGAGGAUCCUGUUAAAAUGUGGAGCCUGAUGAGGAGACCUGCUGGGGGCAGACAUCCUGCACUUCUAACAAGCUCCCAGAGGAUGCAGUUACUUUUGCCCAUCUGUGGAUUCACUGAGGAGCAAGCAGGACUUCUAAGGUCACCUCUUGCUCUGAAGGGACAGACCUUGAGCCCUGGCAGUGGGCACAAAGAGAGUGACAAAAACAAAAAACAAACAAACAACAACAACAACAAAAACCCAGUUGCCCAGAUUUGGGUCAGCCAGGAGAGCACAGAAUGUGAAAUGAUUCCAGAGGGAUCCUUCCAACCACAGAUACAAAAAUCAACAUCGUCAUCGUCACCAUCAGCAAACAUUUGUGCAGUGCUUUCCCCUGUCCUGAGCAGCUGUCACAUCCUUGAACCCAGUUGACCCCUACAGGCACCCUGGUGGGAGAGGAGGACACGGCUGAGGAAUCCAUUCAGUCCCGGUGGAGGAGCUGGGCAAGAGCACAAUAGUCCCUGAAAGGAUUGUUUCCAUGCAGCCCUUUGAUUUUCUUAGCAUUUUUUUUUUUUUGGUGCCUGCUUUCUGACCCCUUCUUCCUUUGUCUCCUAAUGCACCCCCACCCCGCUCCUAAUUCUUCCCUCCCCCAACACACACACACACACACACACACACACACACACACAAAAACGUCAGGAGGAGAAAAUCAGUGUAUCCACCCACAGAUUUCUCACUUUGAUCCUUUCCUGUCUCACCGCCUGGAACCCAGCUUCAGAGACCAGGAUUCUGGCUCGUUUUGGGGUGACCCAGUCACUUCCACUCUUCUCACUUGUAACUAUGCAAUUUUCCUUAAGGUGACAUUUGUGAAGGAUUUAUGUUGUCUGGGCACUAUGCUGAGUGACUUCAUUCUCACUUCACCCUAGGGAGUGGGAACUCUUAACUAUCUCCACUUCAUUGGUGAGAAAACUGAGCCUUUAGGAUGUUUGCCUGCCCAAGGUCACCUAGUUAGUAAAUGAUGGAGUCAGGACAUUACCUGACCUUGGCUGACUGACAUCAAAGAUCAUUGUAGAUGAACGCACAGUUGUAAGAAGUAAUACAGAGAGAUUUGUGUAACUCUUAUCCAGUUUUCUCCAAAGGGAGCAUCUUGCAAAACUGUACUACAAUAUCAUAACAAAGAUAUUGACACUGAUAAAAUCCACCAGCCUUAUUCAGAUUUCCUCAGUUUUACUUGUCCUCAUGUGAGUGUAUUUAGUUCUUUGCAAUUUUAACAUGUAUGUAGGUCCAUGUAUGUAGCGCCACAGUCAAGAUACACAACAGCUCUGUCAGCACAGGCUUCUGCAGCCUUUAAUAAUCACAUCUACUUCUCCAUGUCACCCAGCAUCCCUCAUUCUUGUAACACUAAACCUGUUCUCUAUCUCUAUAAUUUCAUUAUUUCGAGAAUGUUCUGUAAGUGGAAGUAUAUGCUUCUGGGAUUGGCUUUUUGACUCAGUCUAAUUCUCUUGAGAGUCACUGAGUUAUGGCAUGCAUCAGUAGUGUUUUGUUUUUUUUUUUAAUUUUAACUGAGUGGUGUUCCAUGGCAUAGAAGUACCACAGUUUCUUUAACC